GCAUGGAAUUUCUACUUCUCUACUUUUCUACUUUUCAGGGUGAAGAGCAAAGAAUUAUUCUAUCAUUAUAAAUUAACAGCCCAAGAGACCAUUGGGGUUGGGAAGUAGCCGGGUAGUAUUGAUGCAGGGUGACAAGUACUAAUCAGAUGUUGAUUCAGGUAAACACCCGGAGUAUAUAGCUGAGGAGCCGACUCUCUACGGACGUGACCUUUGGGAUGAGGAGUUAGCUACGCACGAAGAUAGUUGAGUAUGUGAUGACUGUGCAUUCGGAGCACGCUAAGGAUGAGAGUAUAAUCUUCCUUUUGACCCCUUUUGUAUAUCAGAUGUAGCCCUAGUGGCAUAACCGUAAUUAUGGCUUCCGUUGUGAAAACUCUUUUGGUAAAUAUGAUAAAUAUCAUUAGACAUCA